UGACAGCUGUGACAGAGCAAGUGGCCCUCUAAUGGGUAACAGCGAUGGCCUUCCUCAUCAUUGAGCUGCAAGCCACAAUCCUAGGAGAAAAAUACACAUCCCCAUUUCAUGAGUGAUUCAGCAGGUGAAAUCACACCACUGGAAUCCACUGGAUCACAUCCAUUAGAAUCAACAUCAGCAACGCAUUUGUCUCUGAAGGACCACAAGCACAGAAUACAGCACGUCUGUUCCUGUCACUAAAGAAUCAAUCAAUGUCAAAACAACUACACCCUGAACUACAUGUGAUACCAAGGCAGUACUGGGCUCACGUGAAGCUGGAUACCCACCUUGGCACAUGCACCCCGUCGGACCAGUUUUCAGCAGCAGCAGGGAAGAGGCUCAGUUUCAUAUCUGACCCGAAUAGCAGCAGGUCGGCCAAGACUGUGCGAGGGGACCACGGAGGUCCAAAGACAAGGGCAGAACACUGUCCAGCCUGGAACCCAGGUGCAGACAUGUAACAUCAGUUGUUACAGGAAGCUCUUUUUUUCCAAGUGCUCUUUUGCCUUGUUUACUAUAGAAAACAAAGCUUAUGUACUCAAAAUGACAAUAUAUGCCCAUCUACUAAGUUUUAAACUGACACCUACAUGUUGAUAAGUUAGAGAGGCUCCAGGAUAAAAAGGUUCCACUAUAUUAGGCAGAAGACAGACGGCUUGUAAGUGUUCCAAUUAAGAAUGAGGCAUUUCACAGAGUUAUCUUAGCAUUUUGUAAAAAGUAAGCUAGAAAUGAUGCUGUCCCAAGGAAUGAUCACAAUUGCUGUUCGCAACCAAGACAGCAAACAUCGAAAAGAAAGAAGGCUCUUUGCAACUUUCUUUUAAUACAUAAAAUCAGGAUCAGCUCUAGGUUUUUAACAUCAGUUUUCACAUUUAACCAUUUUGUGGGUUUCUACGUUUAAAUGUAUCUAAUAAUUACUUCCUGCACUGUUUCUAUAUUCUAUGUGUUGCGAACUAAAAGGAAGGUGUAAGAGAAUUGUUGCUUUAGCAAAGGAUUCAACUUGCAGAAGGAAAAAUGACCCACCAUUGACACACGCUGUCCACAACUGUUCUCUCCAGUCUCCGUAACACUUGGCCUGGUGCUGAAAACACACCAGCCAGGAAGCCAAGAUGGGGUAAGACUUUUUCCAACAGUUUCAAAAGCUGCUCCAGGCCCUUACGGAACAAAAUGUGAAUCGGAUCGGGUUUUACAGUCUCAAGGAGGAGCUCCGAGUGCCGAAAACAUCCUGCCCCCUUCCCCAGCAGCACUGAACACAUCUUCAAAGCCCUUCUGGAUGCUGUUAGCAGGGGGAUAUUUGUCUGUGGAGAGGUGAGUUUAUCAAGUCACAGCCUUCAGUGGUAGAUCUCCAGCCCCACACAGCAUGAUGCAACUGAAUCAGGGGCUGACCCCCUCCUCUCCUUUAUGAAACAAGAGAUAGCAAUGUCUCACUGUCACAGCAUGGUUAUUAGACCUAAUUACUGCUUGCAGCACGCUUUGAAGUUGGAAAGUACUGAGCAUUAUUAUAUUUUAAGUACUUUGAUGAUUAAAAACAUGCAACCGUUGGGUAAUAAUCAUGAUUUACUACUAUCGUAGAGUAAGCAAGUUCAUGUGAGAAGUCUGUGUUGUCUGAGGGGCUGACGCUACUUACAAACAAACAGCUCCCCUCUGACAUAAUGGGAAUGCUGCAGCCUCAGCCUCUAAGAUAAUGCCCGGCACAGCCCUUAGACUACUCACGUGCUGCAAAAAUACACCAGCAUACUUUGUCAUCAUCAUUAUCUCUGCCAGGAUAUUUUUGAUACAUGUGCCUCUCCUCAUAACUUCUCGGUGGAAGGUUUAAGUGGGAACAACAUGCAAGAUGACUAGUAAUAUCCUUUUUAUUUCUCAUGUUACAGUUGUAUGGAACAAGAAGCCCAUAGUUUAGUCAGAAAAUGCAAUGGACUGCAACUGAAGAGUUCAGCUGUACUGCUGCUAAAGAUAAGGAAGCUUCCUUCGUUAAAACAGAGCUAAUUAAAAGCCUGCACAGCCAAAACUAUUGCCACGGAAUAUUAUUUGAGUACCUGCCAUUCCUGUUCGCUAGAAACACGCCUGGGUAGGUCUGACCACACACGAGCACAGACCUCAGCUCUGCCACUGCAUCUCCCAUGGAGGCGCGGCUCCUCCAGGGCCCUGCUCAGGCAGAAAGGGGUGGCUGUGUGAGAGCGGGUGGGAUGGCUGGAGCUGCCCUGCUGCAGCAUCUCUCCUCCAGCUGCCAGCACAGAGAUGUCCUUGAGCCCCCAGCACAGCCCAGUGCUGCUCCAGGGGACACUUGAUGAAGUAUUUCCACGCUCUCCAAGUUUUGGUCCGAAACUCAUGCAGCUUUCUGAGCACAUCAGCCCCUGGCUCUUCAUGCCUGACUGACGAACAAAUUGUGCAUAUCUGUUUUAUUUAGCAAUGUUAAACAUGGACCUAAUUGCAUGCUAACAGAUUCAGAUGCCAACCCUGCAGCAACUGAUGCGGCAGCAGCAUCAUUACCAGUCUCAUGUUAACAUCUUAAACGAGUCUCUCAAAGGGUUGGACUAAAAGUGGCAUACAGGAAGGAUUAAUACAUAACAACAUCUGCUCAAGUAUUUCACAGCUGCCAUAAGAGAGAAGGAAAAUGCCUGCAUGUUGCCCCAGAACCCUAUUCGAGCGAAACCAGACUAGUCACAAAGUAGCCUGGGCUGAGCAGAAGUUGCAUUCGCUUGUCUGCUGUCCUUCUGCAGCCAGAGCCAACACUGCGUUAGGAAACAAACUUUACCAGGCCAGACUUGGUAACUUAGUUUUACAACAGUUUGCCCAGGACUGCUGUUUCAGAGUCAUUCUGCAAAGGCCAUCCACAGGCUGCCCUUACUCUCUGCACAGACAGAACCCCACGUGCCACCCAUGCCCACAUCCCGGGAGCCCAUCCUUGAGCCUGUGCCAGGGCAACUGGUCCCCAAGGGAUCUGUGGCAAGGGCUGCAGAUACUGUGCGAUAGUACAGGGCACCACAAUGGAGACCGCCAUCCCUAGCAUUAAAUUCUCCAGCACAGAUGCUGCAGUUUUUCUUGCCAUGCAAGGUGCCAGCUGUGUGCCCUUGGAAAGCACAGAACUGCUUAGUUUGCCUUCUGACAGCAUCACACAGAUCCAGAUUUCAAAAAAUGUCAGGUUAAAAAUUUAGAUAUACAUUUUACUGGUUGAGAAGCAGGGACUAAGAUAACUCAAACAUUGAAAAGUGAAUGCAAUAUUUGGAAUACAGUCUGCCAAACUGGAGGCCAGAACAUCAGUACGUCUGAGAAGCAGAAGAUAAAACUAAAGCUAGAGGUUGAUACUUUAAGAGAAAUACCAAGUUUACAAACACAGAAGAAAUUACUGAAAAUAUUAAAUAACAAUAACCUGUUUCUGUUACCUCCUCUACCCACUUAGCACAGGACAAAACUGAUGCAGAAUUUCAUCCAGAUGUAUUUUCCUUCACUACGAAGGGGACACUCGCCUGCCCAGGAAUUAAAGACGUGCCAAAAGAAAACAAAAGCUUCCAAUGCUUUUUAUUUAUUUGUUAUCAUUUCUCCUCAACUGACACUUGAGUUUGAGCCUUCAGUUCUCCACCCCUUACUCUGGCUUCUGACUGCGUAUCUGCAGAGAGGUUUUCUUUACUUGGGGUUUCUGUUACUCACUUAGUUGAAAACAAGGAGCACCAAGGCUGCUUAGCCCCUCAAUACCCAUUAGUUACAUUUUUCUUCUCCAUCUCCUCCACGGGAGCAUAACUGCCCCAAGUAAGGCGGGACAGGGUCCAUGUGGAGCAUGCAGCCGUGGCAGCAGGGUGCAGCCGUGCAGCAUCUCUUUGUACUGGGCAAGGAGCUACCGACAGACCUGCACCCCAACCCCACUGCCCGCAACUGGGGUGGGUGACAUUUCCAUCCCCCACCACCACCGCCUGGUCCCCAUCUCACAAUGCUCAGCGCUGCUGCUUUGUGAGAGGAGGGGUGAAUUUUUAGGGCUUUCAGGGUUUUUAAGAUAGAAAAAAAUCAAUGCCAAAUUCCUUUGAAUAGAAGAUACUGCGUGUUGGCAGAAGCCACUUUUCACAGACUGCAGCCGUUUGAAAUCUGAAACACUAAAAAGUGGCUACUGUGGAUGUGCUGUAUUCUUCUUUUCAAAGCAAUCUGGCACACAAUUUUGGUUCCCCGUUUCAGGACCCAAUCCUGCAUUCCUUUCACGCUCAGACUCCCAUUGACUUUAAGGAAUGCAGGAUUGGAUCCUAAAUGUGUGCUUUACUCACACAAUAGCUCCUCAUGGUUACGAUCUAUUGAGAAAGGCACACUUUCAAAAACCAUUUGGAAUUGCAGGCUCAUCCACCGGGCCAGAAUGCUUGUAAAGAUCUUCCAUUAUUUCAGGAAAAAUGCUCGGUGUGUGAAUUACACACACACAUGUACAUUCACACAUUUUUCUGGUUUCAAGCUGCAGGCACAGCUUAGCUUGAGAUGCAUCAAAAUAUUUUGAGCGGUGGCCUGAUAGCUAAUAAAGAAACCACGCGUAAAUUUAGUUUCUGAAAACAAGCAAAACUCCAGGGAAAAAGAAAACACUAAGGCAAAUAUAUAAGCAGCUGAAUCUUUAGGAUGGUUUUUCAGAGAACACUUGUAAAAGCCUUUAAAAGACCGGCACCAGCUCAGACAAAACAGAGUCCAGCACUGCUAUUUUUGAGGAUGCCGUAUAUUGAGUUACGAGGCUAUUACAAUGCAAAUCUCAAAUGUACAAGCUUUUUACUUGGCCGUAAACACAAAACAGUAUACAUUGUCCUUUCAGAAGAAAAGGUUUGCUGCUAAAAUAGCAGAAGCCCUACGUAAAUAACCAACAUUCUUUCUGACUGAGGUCACUGACUUGGCCUAUUCAAUUCCGGGCUAGUCUGGGAUUUGACAAUCUAAGCAGGGGAGAGGCCCUUUCCUUUUUUUUCAAAAGAAUGCUGGGAUUUUAUUUGAAAUUUAAACUCUUGCAAACAAAAGGUGGCAUCGUACGCUAGAGGCCUAUGAAGGUGGAGUACAGGAUGUGUAUUGUUUUCUCCCUUUACAUAGAUUCUUUCAGGAGAGAGUAUUCAGUCUGUGAACAAAUUCUAAUCAAAUAUUAUCAAGUAGGUAGAAGUAGCACGACACGAACAGUUUUAAGGGAUUAGGAAAUUUGCUUCUAAAAAAUUUUGAUCCACUGUAUCUAUUAAAAUGUUUGUGUGGUAAUUUAAAAUGUCUUUUAAAAAACCUUUAACUGAAAAUUCCUCCAUGAUUUAAGUUCCUGUACUAACUCUUAUUUGUAUGUUAAAAAAUAACCACUCGAUACAAAUUAGCUGUGGCUGCAAAGCAGCAUUCAUUUUCAAUCUCUAUCGCAAGUUGAUCUGUCCCAAAGAGGCAGCUGGCAGCUUGCUGUUUUUCCUGAUUCCUGCUGCCCAGCCCUUAUCGGGGCACUUCACAGACCCACCCCCUCGUAUAAAACAGUGGCCAAUUCUGUGUCUGCGCUGCUAACCAGGCUCUGCGCUGCUCUCAGCCAGCACAGGAGCAGCGCGCACACUCCUGCCACACCAAGGUACUGUACCCACAGCUCCCAUCACAUACAACUAUCCUAAGCUGAAUUUGCAGCUAGUAGAAAUUGUUCUGCCCCCAACAUACUGUGUCUUUGCUAUGCACUAGCUAAAUGGUAAAAUCUAGAUGAAAACGAGACAGUUUAUCACUUUGACACGUUUGUAGCUCAAGGUAAACUCUAGACUUUCCUCUGCAGUUUACUUUAACAUGCCAUGAUAUCAAAAUGAAAAACUCAUUACCUUCUCUUGGAUUUUGCCUCGUGUCAGCUAGUACACUGAAGAGAACACCUUUAUAUCCAGAAAGCAUGCUCUUGCUGCCAAGAAGCCUUGCGUUUUUGCACUUAGGUUGGUAAUACAUCUUGCUCUGACUGCUAUGCAGCUUUCAUCUUAACUAAAUCAGCAAGCCUGAGUCUGAGUGGAGAGAAUGUGGAGGGUACAUUUCUGGCCCAGUCUAGCUGUGUGACCAAGCUGUCAGUCUCCAGUAGGAUUAUGUAGAUAAAUAGCUAAUAUCUUUUGUUACCUUGCUGGAAAACCCCACCUUUCUUGGCAGGGUAUCCACAAUCUCCAUGCCAUGUUUACUCUACUGUGGAAUUCUCUCUUCCUUUCUCUCUCCUCCUACUCUUCUGUCAGGUUAUUUAACCAAAAGGUUACUUAGUGCUGCAGGAACUAGAAGAUCUCUGACCUUCGGUACUUGGGCAAAGCGUUCCUGUACUGACCAUAUUAUAAACUCUGCAGAUACUUUCAAGCUUCCAUACGUUUUGCAAACGUCACAAUUCAGCAGAUGUUUCCUUUCUUUCCCCAUUUAUGUAUUUAUUCCAUCCCAUCACCCAUCAAUUCCAGGAUUAAGGCAUAAAUUAUUUCCCUGGAGCUCUGACAGAUGAACCUGCAUUUAAAAGGAGUUUGUAAAAAUGUAUGCUAAGCAUGUAUUUGAAAACAGAAAUGCAAGAGCCUGCACUGAUCUAAUAGCUGUUUUUGGCCUACAUAUAUUAACAUUUCUCUUAAAAUAUA